AGAAACCAACAGGGAUUGCCUCAGUAACGGCGAGUGAAGCGGCAAUAGCUCAAAUUUGAAAGCUGGCGCAAGCCCGCGUUGUAAUUUGUAGAGGAUGCUUCGGGUGUGGUGCCGGUCUAAGUUCCUUGGAACAGGACGUCAUAGAGGGUGAGAAUCCCGUAUAUGGCUGGUCGCCUACGCCUGUGUGAAGCUCCUUCGACGAGUCGAGUUGUUUGGGAAUGCAGCUCAAAAUGGGUGGUGUACUCCAUCUAAAGCUAAAUAUUGGCCAAAGACCGAUAGCGCACAAGUAGAGUGAUCGAAAGAUGAAAAGCACUUUGGAAAGAGAGUUAAACAGUACGUGAAAUUGUUGAAAGGGAAGCGCUUGCAAUCAGACUUGCGCGGCGCUGAUCAGCUUGGGUUCUCCCUUGCGCACUCGGCGCCGUUCAGGCCAGCAUCAGUUUUAGCGGUUGGAUAAAGGCCUAGGGAAAGUGAGUGGCUUCGGCCACUGUUAUAGCCCUGGGCGCAAUGCAGCCUGCUGGGACUGAGGACCGCGCUUCGGCUAGGAUGCUGGCGUAAUGGUUGUAAGCGACCCGUCUUGAAACACGGACCAAGGAGUUGAAGAAUAGUGCGAGUGUUUGGGUGUUAAACCCAUGCGCGUAAUGAAAGUGAACGGAGGUGAGAGUCCUUAAGGAUGCAUCAUCGACCGAUCCUGAUGUCUUCGGAUGGAUUUGAGUAAGAGCACUACUCUUCUGACCCGAAAGAUGGUGAACUAUGCCUGAAUAGGGUGAAGCCAGAGGAAACUCUGGUGGAGGCUCGCAGAGGUUCUGACGUGCAAAUCGAUCUUCAAAUUUGGGUAUAGGGGCGAAAGACUAAUCG
rnacentral:rRNA from 1 species